ACUUGGUGAUGAGGAAACUACUUUCGCAUGUCAUUGAGACAUCCCUAUGACUCAUAUAAGAUUUCUUUAUCAUAUUGUCGAAAACGAUGAUGUCAUUGCACAACUU
rfam:Gossypium raimondii Chr09_contig_716, whole genome shotgun sequence.